UACGUAGGGUGCGAGCGUUAAUCGGAAUUACUGGGCGUAAAGUGUGCGCAGGCGGCCGCGCAAGUCGAGUGUGAAAGCCCCGAGCUUAACUUGGGAAUUGCGCUCGAAACUACGUGGCUGGAGUGUGGCAGAGGAAGGUGGAAUUCCAGGUGUAGCGGUGAAAUGCGUAGGGAUCUGGAGGAACACCGAUGGCGAAGGCAGCCUUCUGGGCCAACACUGACGCUCAUGCACGAAAGCGUGGGGAGCAAACAGG
rnacentral:rRNA from 1 species